rnacentral:ncRNA from 2 species
AAACAAUCUGUUUUUCGAGCCGAAAUUGCUAAGCGGGAAACCGUAUGCAGUCAGGCCAAUGGGUACAUCUGGAAAUGGAAGUGCCUUCCGCAUUUGAAAAGAAAGAGAGAUUCGCUUUAC